AAGAAACGUUACGAGCGAAUAACUCGUGAUAAUGACGGUACCUUGAUAAGCAAGCACCGNCUAACUACGUGCCAGCAGCCGCGGUAAUACGUAGGGUGCGAGCGUUAAUCGGAAUUACUGGGCGUAAAGCGUGCGCAGGCGGUUUUGUAAGUCAGAUGUGAAAUCCCCGAGCUCAACUUGGGAACUGCGUUUGAAACUACAAGGCUAGAGUAUGGUAGAGGGGGGUAGAAUUCCACGUGUAGCAGUGAAAUGCGU
rnacentral:rRNA from 1 species